AACGAACGCUGGCGGCAUGCCUAACACAUGCAAGUCGAACGAGACCUUCGGGUCUAGUGGCGCACGGGUGCGUAACGCGUGGGAACCUGCCCUUAGGUUCGGAAUAACUCCCCGAAAGGGGUGCUAAUACCGGAUAAUGUCUUCGGACCAAAGAUUUAUCGCCUUUGGAUGGGCCCGCGUUGGAUUAGCUAGUUGGUAGGGUAAAAGCCUACCAAGGCGACGAUCCAUAGCUGGUCUGAGAGGAUGAUCAGCCACACUGGGACUGAGACACGGCCCAGACUCCUACGGGAGGCAGCAGUGGGGAAUAUUGGACAAUGGGCGAAAGCCUGAGCCAGCAAUGCCGCGUGAGUGAUGAAGGCCUUAGGGUUGUAAAGCUCUUUUACCCGGGAUGAUAAUGACAGUACCGGGAGAAUAAGCUCCGGCGAACUCCGU
rnacentral:rRNA from 1 species